rnacentral:rRNA from 1 species
GGCGGCGUGCUAACACAUGCAAGUCGAACGGAAAGUUGGCUUCGGCCGAUGAGUAAAGUGGCGCACGGGUGAGUAACGCGUGGAUAAUCUGCCCUUUAGUUUGGAAUAACGUACCGAAAGGUGCGCUAAUACCGGAUAAUACUGAAUGACUACUGUUGUUUAGUCAAAGAAGGCUUCUGUUUACAUGCUUUUGCUGAAGGAUGAGUCCGCGUACCAUUAGCUAGUUGGUAGGGUAAUGGCCUACCAAGGCGACGAUGGUUAGCUGGUCUGAGAGGAUGAUCAGCCACACUGGAACUGAGACACGGUCCAGACUCCUACGGGAGGCAGCAGUGAGGAAUAUUGCGCAAUGGGGGCAACCCUGACGCAGCAACGCCGCGUGAGUGAGGAAGGUUUUCGGACCGUAAAGCUCUGUCGAGCGGGAAGAAAUGCAUGGUGGCUAAUAUCCAUCAUGCUUGACGGUACCGCUAAAGGAAGCACCGGCUAACUCCGUG